AUUGAACGCUGGCGGCAUGCCUUACACAUGCAAGUCGAACGGCAGCACGGGAGCAAUCCUGGUGGCGAGUGGCGAACGGGUGAGUAAUAUAUCGGAACGUGCCCAGUCGUGGGGGAUAACGCAGCGAAAGCUGUGCUAAUACCGCAUACGAUCUACGGAUGAAAGCGGGGGAUCGCAAGACCUCGCGCGAUUGGAGCGGCCGAUAGCAGAUUAGCUAGUUGGUGGGGUAAAGGCCCACCAAGGCGACGAUCGGUAGCUGGUCUGAGAGGACGACCAGCCACACUGGAACUGAGACACGGUCCAGACUCCUACGGGAGGCAGCAGUGGGGAAUUUUGGACAAUGGGCGCAAGCCUGAUCCAGCAAUGCCGCGUACAGGAUGAAGGCCUUCGGGUUGUAAACUGCUUUUGUACGGAACGAAACGGCCCUUUCUAAUAUAGGGGGCUAAUGACGGUACCGUAAGAAUAAGCACCGGCUAACUACGUGCCAGCCGCCGCGGUAA
rnacentral:rRNA from 1 species